AAUAUUGCGCAAUGGAGGGAACUCUGACGCAGCGACGCCGCGUGAGCGAUGAAGGUCNNNGGAUCNUCAAACUCUGUCAUUGGNGACNAAUAAAUGACGGUACCCAUGGAGGAAGCCCCGGCUAACUACGUGCCAGCAGCCGCGGUAAUACGUAGGGGGCAAGCGUUGUCCGGAAUUAUUGGGCGUAAAGGGUGCGUAGGCGGCCCUUUAAGUCAGAUGUGAAAGCCCACGGCUUAACCGUGGGGCUGCAUUUGAAACUGGAGGGCUUGAGUGUCGGAGAGGGCAGUGGAAUUCCCAGUGUAGCGGUGGAAUGCGUAGAUAUUGGGAGGAACACCAGUGGCGAAGGCGACUGCCUGGACGAUAACUGACGCUGAGGCACGAAAGCUAGGGGAGCAAACA
rnacentral:rRNA from 1 species